rnacentral:rRNA from 1 species
UGGGGAAUAUUGGACAAUGGGCGAAAGCCUGAUCCAGCAAUGCCGCGUGAGUGAUGAAGGCCUUAGGGUUGUAAAGCUCUUUUACCAGGGAUGAUAAUGACAGUACCUGGAGAAUAAGCUCCGGCUAACUCCGUGCCAGCAGCCGCGGUAAUACGGAGGGAGCUAGCGUUGUUCGGAAUUACUGGGCGUAAAGCGUACGUAGGCGGUGACUCAAGUCAGAGGUGAAAGCCUGGAGCUCAACUCCAGAACUGCCUUUGAAACUAGGUCGCUAGAAUCACGGAGAGGUGAGUGGAAUUCCGAGUGUAGAGGUGAAAUUCGUAGAUAUUGUGGGGAACACCAAAGGCGAAGGCAGCGCACUGGCCAAAAUCUGACGCUCACACACGAAAGCUAGGGUAGCGAAGAGGAUUAGAUACCCCCGUAGUCCCUGAGCGGGCUGGCAAGGCGC